rnacentral:misc_RNA from 1 species
GUACCUUCAAGCUCUGCUUGGUGUUGGGUGUUUGUCCUUGCUCUAGUGGUGGGACUCGCCUUAAAGUAAUUGGCAGCCAGUGUUUUGGUUUUGAAGCGCAGCACAAGUCGCGAUUCAAGUCUAUACACUAGUUCCCACAAGUCUUUUAUCACUU